rnacentral:lncRNA from 1 species
AGAGGGAGUAAAGCUACACAUAUUUCAUUCAAUGUCAGCUGCAAGUUGAAUAUGGGAAUAAAGAAAGAAAGCAGCAAACAACUUUGCUGCUGUGAGGAAUGCAAGGAUUGAAAGAAGUAUGGUAGUAGCAAAAGGAAAUCAUUUUCACACGUGAUGUACAACAGCCAAAAGCAAGAAUAGGAAGAAAAAAGAUGGUUGUGCCUUUAGACCAAAGGAUAAUGCAAAGAAAUAUAAGAAUGGGCACCCACGUGAAGAAAGCAAAGGGAAUACAGCAGCCAGCACAUGAAAAUGAUGAAUAUGAUGAUGCUUUAGUUGCUCUCCUUUCUCUAUAAAUAGAAGGCAAUGCAAGGAACCCCGCAGGGGGGAGAGAGAGACAAACGAGAGGAGAAUUAGUAAAAACUUUGGGCACCAAAUAGAAUUAAAGUUAGAGACCCUAGGAAGCCGAGAGGCAAGGAUCUAGGGGCAUCUACUAUUCUAGUUUUUCUUCUCUUAAUUUUCCUUUUCAAGUUUUCAAUUGUUGUAAUAAAAUCCUUUUGCUAGAUUUUUCUUUAUGUUUUUUUUUACUUGUGCUUUAUUUUUCCUUGUCAUGUAAUUUCUUAUUAGGGAAUUAAGAAUACAAGGUUAGGACCAAACACCAUGGCUUAAUCACUGUGAAUCUGAAUAGAACUUGUUAACUUGAUUGUUUUAAAUUUUUGUCUUUCAUUUACGUGUUUACUUUCGUCAUUAAGUUUAGUUUCUAUUUUCCUUACCUAAUCAACACACCCGAUUUCUAUUUUGUAUAGGGAAACGAGUUGAAUCAAUCUAUCAUCAAUUCUCGUGAGAUCGACCUCGCACUUACAUAUGCUAUACUACCCAAUAGCUCAUGCACUUGCAAGUAUGACAAGUUGAGGAUCCAAGCUGAAUUGACACAACACCUGUGUCAGAUGAAUGUCUUGACCGUGUAUGGGGAGUGUCUUAAUUGUGGGCACAUCGUUGACCAUAGGCCACGGGUGUCUGAGUGUCUGACACUCCGACACUUGCGCGUAGUGAAGUAUCCAUGCAACCAGUGGCGGAGCCACUCCUAGACCUGGAGUGGCCCUGGCCCCC